rnacentral:rRNA from 1 species
CUACGGGUCGCUGCAGUGGGGAAUAUUGCGCAAUGGGCGCAAGCCUGAUGCAGCCAUGCCGCGUGUAUGAAGAAGGCCUUCGGGUUGUAAAGUACUUUCAGCGGGGAGGAAGGGAGUAAAGUUAAUACCUUUGCUCAUUGACGUUACCCGCAGAAGAAGCACCGGCUAACUCCGUGCCAGCAGCCGCGGUAAUACGGAGGGUGCAAGCGUUAAUCGGAAUUACUGGGCGUAAAGCGCACGCAGGCGGUUUGUUAAGUCAGAUGUGAAAUCCCCGGGCUCAACCUGGGAACUGCAUCUGAUACUGGCAAGCUGGAGUCUCGUAGAGGGGGGUAGAAUUCCAGGUGUAGCGGUGAAAUGCGUAGAGAUCUGGAGGAAUACCGGUGGCGAAGGCGGCCCCCUGGACGAAGACUGACGCUCAGGUGCGAAAGCGUGGGGAGCAAGCAGGAUUAGAUACCCGAGUAGUC